rnacentral:lncRNA from 1 species
GAGUAGAGACAUUUUAACAGUACUUGUCCUUCCAGUCCAUGAGCAUGGAAUAUCUUUCCAUUUCUUUGUGUCAUCUUCAAUUUCUUUCAUCAAUGUUUUAUAAUUUUCAGAGUAAAGGUCUUUCACCUCUUUGGUUAGGUUUAUUCCUAAGUAUCUUAUUGGUUUUGGUGAAAUUGUAAAUUGGAUUGAUUUUUUGAUUUCUCUUUCUGUUGCUUCAUUAUCGCUGUAUAGAAAUGUAACAUUGAUUUUGUAUACUGUAACUUUUCUGAAUUCAUGUAUCAGUUAUAGCACUUUUUGGUGGAGUCUUUUGGGUUUUCUAUAUAUAAUAUCAUGUUAUGUUUCUAUAUAUAUUAUCAUGUCAUUUGCAAAUAGUGAAAGUUUGACUUCUUCCUUACUGAUUUGGAUUCCCUUUGUUUCUUUUUGUUGUCUGAUGCUGUAGCUAGGAUUUCCAGUACCAGUAUGUUAAAUAUGGUUUCUUAUGUCUCUUAUGGUUUGUCUCUCUCCUUCAUUUCGUCUUGUUUUAUUUUUUCCUCUCUUUCCCUAUGAUCCUUUGUUUUAUUUCUUAAAUUCCACAUAUGAUUGAGAUCAUAUGAUAACCAUGAGAGACUCUCAACUAUAGGAAACAAACAGGGUUGCUAGAGGGGAAGUGGGUGGGGGGAUGGAGUAAUUGGAUGAUGGGCAUUAAGACAGGCAUGUGAUGGGAUGAGCACUAGGUAUAACUGAUGUAACUGAUGUAACUGAACUCUACAUUUGAAACUAAUGAUAUACCAUAUGUAGGUUAAUUUAAUUUGAAUAAAAAAAUAAAUGUGUCCUGGAUAGACAAAGAAUUUUAAAAAGUGGGCAGAGGAUCUGAGUAGACAUUUUUACAAAGAAGACAUAUAGAUAACCAACAGAUACAUGAAAAUAUGUUCAACAUCACUAAUCCUCAAGGAAUUGCAAAUCAAAACCACAAUGAGAUAUCAUUCACAGCUGUUGGAAUGGCUAUUAUCAAAAAGACAAAAAAUAACAAGUGCUGGUGAAGAUGUGGAAAGAAGGGAACCCUUGUGUACUGUUGGUGGGAAUGCAAAAUUGGUGCAGUCACUAUAUAAAACAAUAUAGAGAUUCUUCAAAAAAAUUAAAAAUAGAAUUACCAUAUGAUCCAGCAAUUCUACUUCUGGGUAUUUAUCCAAAGGAAACAAAACACUAACUUGAAAAGACUUAU